rnacentral:rRNA from 1 species
GUCUACGGCCACGCCACCCUGAACGUGCCCAAUCUCGUCUGAUCACGGAAGCUAAGCGGGGUGGGGCCUGGUCAGUACUUGGAUGCGAGACCACCUAGGAAGACCAGGAAGACCAGGUGCUGUAUGUG